rnacentral:rRNA from 1 species
CACGUAGGAGGCGAGCGUUGUCCGGAAUCAUUGGGCGUAAAGAGCGCGCAGGCGGCUUGGCAAGUCGGGUGUGAAAUCCCGGGGCUCAACCCCGUGACUGCAUCCGAUACUGUCAGGCUAGAGGUAGGUAGGGGAGAUCGGAAUUCCUGGUGUAGCGGUGAAAUGCGCAGAUAUCAGGAGGAACACCGGUGGCGAAGGCGGGUCUCUGGGCAACUACUGACGCUGAGGAGCGAAAGCGUGGGGAGCGAACAGG